GCCCGGUUAGCUCAAUCGGUAGAGCGUGAGACUCUUAAGAAAUCUCAAGGUUGCGGGUUCGACCCCCGCAUCGGGCU
rnacentral:tRNA from 1 species